CAGCCGCCGCGGUAAUACGAAGGGGGCUAGCGUUGCUCGGAAUGACUGGGCGUAAAGGGCGCGUAGGCGGCAUGUACAGUCAGACGUGAAAUUCCUGGGCUUAACCUGGGGGCUGCGUUUGAUACGUGCAGGCUAGAGUGGGGAAGAGGGUUGUGGAAUUCCCAGUGUAGAGGUGAAAUUCGUAGAUAUUGGGAAGAACACCGGUGGCGAAGGCGGCAACCUGGUCCUUGACUGACGCUGAGGCGCGAAAGCGUGGGGAGCAAACAGGAUUAGAUACCCCCGUAGUCCCUGUCUCUUAUAA
rnacentral:rRNA from 1 species